rnacentral:rRNA from 1 species
UACGUAGGGGGCGAGCGUUGUCCGGAUUUAUUGGGCGUAAAGAGCGUGUAGGCGGCCAGGUAGGUCUGCUGUGAAAACUCGAGGCUCAACCUCGAGACGUCGGCGGAAACCAUCUGGCUAGAGUUCGGCAGGGGAGACUGGAAUUCCUGGUGUAGCGGUGAAAUGCGCAGAUAUCAGGAGGAACACCGGUGGCGAAGGCGGGUCUCUGGGCCGAUACUGACGCUGAGGAGCGAAAGCGUGGGGAGCGAACAGG